GGCAGAGAAACUGAGUUAGAAACAUGGAGAGAGAGAGGCAGAGAAACCUAGAGAGAGAAACAUGGAGAGAGAGAGGCAGAGAAACUUAGAGACAGAAACAUGGAGAGAGAGAGGCAGAGAAACUGAGAGAAAGAAACAUGGAGAGAGAGAGGCAGAGAAACUGAGAGAAAGAAUCAUGGAGAGAGAGAGGCAGAGAAACUAAGAGAGAAACGGGGAGAGUGAGAGGCAGAGAAACUGAGAGACAGAAACAGAGAAAGGCAGAGAAACUGAGAGACAGAAACAAAGUGAGAGAGAGGCAGAGAAACUGAGAUAGAGAAACAUGGAGAGAGAGAGGCAGAGAAACUGAGAGAUAGAAACACAGAGUGAGAGAGGCAGAGAAACUGAGAGAGAAACGGGGAGAGUGAGAGGCAGAGAAACUGAGAGACAGAAACACAGAGUGAGAGAGGCAGAGAAACAGAGAGAAACGGGGAGAGUGAGAGGCAGAGAAACUGAGAGACAGAAACAGAGAAAGGCAGAGAAACUGAGAGACAGAAACAAAGUGAGAGAGAGGCAGAGAAACUGAGAUAGAGAAACAUGGAGAGAGAGAGGCAGAGAAACUGAGAGAUAGAAACAUGGAGAGAGAGACAGAGAAAAUGAGAGACAGAAACAUCGAGAGAGAGAGAGAGGCAGAGAAACUGAGAUAGAGAAACAUGGAGAGAGAGAGAGGCAGAGAAACUGAGAGAUAGAAACAUGGAGAGAGAGACAGAGAAACUGAGAGACAGAAACAUGGAGAGAGAGAGAGGCAGAGAAACUGAGACAGAAACAUGGAGAGAGAGAGAGGCAGAGAAACUGAGAGACAGAAACAUGGAGUCAGAGAGGCAGAGAAACUGAGAGACAGAACCAGGGAAAGAGAGAGGUAUAGAAACUGAGAGACAGAAACAGGGAGAGAGAGAGGCAGAGAAACUGAGAGAGAAACAGGGAGAGAGAGAGGUUGAGAAACUGAGAGACAGAAACAUGUAGAGAGGCAGAGAAACUGAGAGACCGAAACAGGGAGAGAGAGAGAGAGAGGCAGAGAAACUAAUAGACAGAAACAGGGAGAUUUAGAGGCAGAGACAUUGAGACAUAAACAUGGAGAGAGCGAGGCAGAGAAACUGAGACAAAGAAACAUGGAGAGAGAGAGGCAGAGAAACUGAGAGAAAGAAACAUGGAGAGAGAGAGGCAGAGAAACUGAGAGAAAGAAUCAUGGAGAGAGAGAGGCAGAGAAACUAAGAGACAGAAACACAGAGUGAGAG
rnacentral:lncRNA from 1 species